rnacentral:rRNA from 1 species
AGCGAACGCUGGCGGCAGGCCUAACACAUGCAAGUCGAACGAACUCUUCGGAGUUAGUGGCGGACGGGUGAGUAACACGUGGGAACGUGCCUUUAGGUUCGGAAUAACUCAGGGAAACUUGUGCUAAUACCGAAUGUGCCCUUCGGGGGAAAGAUCUAUCGCCUUUAGAGCGGCCCGCGUCUGAUUAGCUAGUUGGUGAGGUAAAGGCUCACCAAGGCGACGAUCAGUAGCUGGUCUGAGAGGAUGAUCAGCCACAUUGGGACUGAGACACGGCCCAAACUCCUACGGGAGGCAGCAGUGGGGAAUCUUGCGCAAUGGGCGAAAGCCUGACGCAGCCAUGCCGCGUGAAUGAUGAAGGUCUUAGGAUUGUAAAAUUCUUUCACCGGGGACGAUAAUGACGGUACCCGGAGAAGAAGCCCCGGCUAACUUCGUG